GACAGAGGAUGCAAGCGUUAUCCGGAAUGAUUGGGCGUAAAGCGUCUGUAGGUGGCUUUUUAAGUCCGCCGUCAAAUCCCAGGGCUCAACCCUGGACAGGCGGUGGAAACUACCAAGCUGGAGUACGGUAGGGGCAGAGGGAAUUUCCAGUGGAGCGGUGAAAUGCGUAGAUAUUGGAAAGACCACCGAUGGCGAAGGCACUCUACUGGGCCAUUACUGACACUGGAGAGACGAAAGCUAGGGGAGCAAAUGGG
rnacentral:rRNA from 1 species